rnacentral:tRNA from 1 species
GCCGGGAUGGCGGAAUUAGGUAGACGCAAAGGACUUAAAAUCCUUCGGACUUUUGUCUGUGCCGGUUCGAGUCCGGCUCUCGGCACCA